rnacentral:rRNA from 1 species
AUGUGGCACUGUGUGUCAGAAAACUUUGAAGCUACUGCUCCUGUGAAGUCAGUCACUAAAUUGGCUACCAAAGGAAGAUGCGACCUGUCCGACUCCAUUGAGCUGCUGCAAGGGCGACUUCAAGAAGUCAUUGGACAGAAGAGAUAUUUGCUUGUCCUUGAUGAUGUGUGGAAUACAGAGGAGAGCAAGUGGGAGGAUUCGCUGAAGCCACUCUUGUGUUCAGUUGGUGGAUCAGGAAGUGUUAUACUUGUCCGGUGGUGGAGCUAUGUACAAGUCUGGGGAACUUUGUACUAA